CCGCGGCUGUGUUCUUUGAUUUGGAGAAGACUUACGACACCUGUUGGAGGGCGGGCAUACUCCGCACCGUGCAUACAUGGAGCUUUCGCGGUCGCCUCCCUCUUUUUAUUCGUUCCUUUUUAAUGGAUCGACAGUUCAGGGUACGUGUGGGUUCUGUCCUGUCAGACACCUUUCGCCAGGAAAAUGGGGUGCCACAGGGCUCCGUUAUGAGCGUCGCUCUCUUGGCCAUAGCGAUCAAUCCAAUAAUGGUUUGCCUCCCAGAUGAUGUUCCAGGCUCCCUUUUCGUGGACGAUUUUACCAUCUAUUGCAGCGCGCAGCGUACAUGUUUCCUAGAACGCUCUCUUCAGCGUUCUCUUGACCGUCUUUACUCCUGGAGUGUCGCCAGUGGCUUCCGUUUUUCUGCCGAGAAAACGGUCUGUAUUAACUUCUGGCACUACAAAGAGUUUCUCCCACCGUCCUUACGACUCGGCCCUGUUGCUCUCCCAUUCGUGGAGACAACAAAAUUUUUAGGUCUUACAUUUGACAGGAAACUUAGUUGGUCUCCACAUGUGUCAUAUUUGGCUGCCUGUUGUACCCGUUCUCUAAAUGUCCUCAGUGUUCUCAGUGGCACGUCGUGGGGAGCGGAUCGAACCAUCCUACUUCGCCUAUAUCGGUCGAUCGUCCGCUCCAAGCUGGAUUAUGGGUGCUUUGUAUACUCCUCUGCACGGCCGUCCAUCUUAUGCCGCCUCAACUCCAUACAACAUCGGGGUUUACGGCUUGCGAUCGGAGUGUUUUAUACUAGUCCCGUCGAGAGUCUUCAUGCUGAAGUCGGUGAAUUGCCACUCACCUACCGGCGCGAUGUGCUGCUUUGUCGUUACGCCUGUCGGCUUCUGUCAAUGCCCGACCACCCAUCGUAUCUUUCCUUUUAUGACGACUCUCUCGACCGUCAAUACGGGUUGUAUGUCUCUGCCCUGCUACCCCCUGGAGUUCGCUUUCGUCGCCUCCUUCAACACCUUGAUUUUUCACUCCGUGCAACCUUUAGAGUGGGCGAGAGCCACAUGCCACCUUGGCUCCAGGCUCAGGUUCGCGUUCACCUUGACCUCUGCUUGCUCCCAAAGGAGGUUACCCCCGGUUCAGUAUACCACUCCCGUUUUGUCGAACUUCGUUCGAAGUUCAUUAAUAUGACCUUCAUUUAUACAGAUGGCUCUAAGACCAAUGACGGGGUUGGGUGUUCUUUUAUUGUCGGUGCACAAAGUUUCAAAUACCGGCUACAUGGCCAUUGUUCGGUCUUCACAGCUGAGCUCUUUGCCCUCUACCAGGCUGUUCUUUACGUCUGCCGCCACCGACAUUCUGCUUAUGUCAUCUGCUCAGAUUCUCUGAGUGCCAUCCAGAGCCUCAGUAAUCUGUAUCCAGUUCACCCUUUCGUGCACCGGAUCCAACGCUGUCUUCAGCAGCUGGUGGACGACAGGUCUCCAUUUAGCUUUAUGUGGGUUCCUGGCCAUGUCGGUAUCGCUGGGAACGAAGCUGCAGAUGCCACGGCCAAGGCUCCGGUCCUCCAGCCUCGGACGGCUUCUUGUUGUGUCCCUUCAUCAGAUUGUAGCACGAUCAUUUGGUGGCGCAUUUUAUUGUUGUGGCAUGCCGAUUGUGCUGCACUUAGGGACAACAAGCUUCGAGCCUUGAAACCUCUUCCCGUAGCUUGGACGUCCUCACGUCCUUCUCGGCGGGAGGAGGUCGUUUUGGCCCGGCUAUGAAUUGGACACUGCUAGUUCAGCCAUCGCCAUCUGCUGACGGCAGCGCCGGCGCCGUUCUGUCCAUGUGGGCAAUUGCUAACGGUCCGCCACAUUUUAACGUCCUGUCCGGAUUUUACUACGCUGCUUCUUGAUCUUGGCCUGCCAUGUACUCUGGAUGCCAUUUUAGCGGAUGACCCAGGAGCUGCUGCUCGUGUUCUUCGUUUUAUUAACUUGACACACCUGUCUAAAGACGUUUGAUUAUGCUGUAGUUUUUUAAUCCUAUGUCUGUUAAUACGUCUUUUAUAGUGUUGUCCCUUUUAGUUGCUGUUUUAACCUUGUGUCUCGCGGUACAUUCCUAAAUUAGUCAGGGCGCUAAUGACCAUUGUAGUUGUGCGCCCUAAAACCACAAAAAAAAAAAAACUAAUACUGAUUUUAUUCAUCUUUUCAGUGGUACGAGGAUUACUUUGGGGCAAUUCUCCUCUCUCUCUCUUUUUAAAAAACUAAUUAAUUAAUUAAAAACAGAGUUAAGCAUUUCAGCUUUUGCUUUCCUAACCUCAAUUUCAGUUUUUGUCUCAUUUCUUAAGGACUGGAGACUAAUUUUGAUGCUACUAAUAGUCUUUACGUACGCCCAGAAUUUCUUUGGGCUAGUCAUUGAAGGCAUCACGCAUUGCUCUCUUAACAGCCAAACGUGUUUCAUUCAGCAUCUGUUUAUACAGGGUACAUUCCGAAAGUAAUGCAAUUGAAUUUCCCGCGCCGCUCCUAGUAGUCGGAGUGGGAGCGGGCCACAUGGAGUAGGUGGGGGGGACGCUAAGCUUUGCCGCGAAACCGGUUUCAGUGCUCUCCGAGCUGUGGAAGCGGCAGGACGUCUGUUAUUGUAAACCUCUGCGCGCCGACCGUGUCACGGAAAAAAUGGGAUCGAGCAACGUUACGCGAUUAAGUUUUGUGCUAAACUGAACAAAUCUUUUGAGGAGACUAACAAAAUGAUUCGUGAGGCUUACGGGGACUCUGCUCUGUCCUACUCACAAGUGGAGGUGGUUAAAGGCCUUUAAGCCCAAAAAGGUAAGAAUGAGCAAAUCAAAAGUGAAAACAAUGCUCAUUGUCUUUUUCGACAGCAAAGGAGUGGUCCAUAAGGAGUUUGUUCCUCAAGGACAGACAGGUAACGCUGCCUACUACGUGGAUGUGCUGGAAAGACUCUGCAAAAGGGUCGUCAGGACGAGAAAGGACAUCUCCGCUACCUGGCAACUCCAUCACGACAACGCGCCUUGCCACAACGCGCUACGAGUCCGCGAGUUCCUGGCCAAACACCAGGUGCCAACGCUGCCCCCCCCCCCCCCUAUGGUCCUGACCUCGCCCCAGCUGACUUCUUUUUGUUUCCUAGGAUUAAGUCAGCCCUGAAAGGAACCCGUUUUUCGUCCAUAGACGAGAUCCAAUCUGCCGUGACGAAGACCUUGCGAGAGGUCCCAGAAGACGCCAUCCAGGGCGCGUACCGGUCAUGGCAGAGUCGCUGGAAAAAAUGUGUAGAGGCCCAAGGACAGUACUUUGAAGAAUUUUAAGUGUUUGUGCAAAUCUGUUCAAUAAAUUACUUUAAAAAAAAUAAUUGCAUUACUUUUGGAACGCACCCUGUAGUCCUAUGCUUUGUUUUACACCUCUGCUUCUUUAGAAGUUUCUUUACUGUGAGUGUAUACGAUGGAGGAUCGCGCGUAUUAUGAACUGUUCUACUGGGUACAUAUCUAUCCAGUGUGUGGUAAACUAUUCUUUUAAACUUGCCUCAUAGUUCCUCUACAUGCUCCUUGCCUAUGCUGAAAGUUUCAAGCUCCUCAUUGAGAUAUGACACUACUGAGUUUUUAUGUAGUUUGCCAUACAUGUAUAUCUUUCUGCUUGUUUCAGUUGUCCUUUGUACUUUGGUAAUCGUUGUUGCCACAACCGCGUCAUGGUCACUGAUACCAGUUUCGUUGUGGACAUCCUCAAAGAUGUCAGGUGUGUUUGUUGCCAUUGGAGCUAAUAUAAUUCCAUCAGAAGUGGAGUUCUGAACUAUCUUUUGAGGUGGUGUUCAGAGUAGGCAUUUGGUAAAGUUUCACUGGAUGUCUUGUCACGCCCGCCACUAAGAAAAUUCUAAUUUCUCCAGUGGAUUGUUAGAUGAUAGGUCUCCAUCAAUGACUUCAGUAUGAUUCAGGAACGUACAUACAAGUGAGCUGUGGUUUUGUGCAAAGUUUUUGGUUACAUCAGGAGACGAGUGUGGUGGGUGAUAGAAGGAUCCGGUUACCAGUUUAUGCCCAUCCCUGAUACUGAGCCUUGCCCAAAAAAUGUCACAUGCAGCUUGAAUUUUUGUCUCGAUGGAUUUGACCUUCUUGUCUACUGCGACAACUACACCCUCUUCAUUCUGCAUUAGCGUAUCCUUUCAAUAUACGCUUACCUUUUCCCAAAACAUCUCAUUGCUGUCAAUUUCAUGUUUCAACCCGGUUUCUAUACCUAGUCUUAUGUGAGUGUCAUUGCUUUUCAAGAGCACUUCAAACUCUGGCACUUUGUUGCGAAUGCUUUGGCAGUUAGCUACUAAAAAUUUUAAUACAUCAUACAUUGGAGGCAUUUCUUUUGCUCUUACACUGAUACUUCUGGGUUUCCUACAGAUAUCGUUAUCUGUGUUGAAUGGAGAGUCACAGGCAGCUACCUGGGUAGCAGCCUAUGUUGUUUAUUUCACACUUGGAUCAUUUAGGGGGACCAUACAGUUCUCAACCCUAUGGCACAGGAAGUAUCAGCUUAGCUCGUCACAGGACCUUCAAAGUCUGGUUCAGUCUUUCCACACAACUCAGAACCAAAGGGCCAUGAUUAGUUCUGGGGACAAUGCUGCAAUUUAUGAGCUUCGUUGAAACUCCUUGUGUAAGGGUGGUCUUCUCAGCCUUCAAUGCCAGUCGCUGGAAUGAUCGAAGUAUGACCUUUGAGCCUGGGCGAUAGGCAUCAUUUGUCCCAAUAUGUGGCACAAUCUGCAGUUGGUUGCACCUUAUUGCCUCAGUGACUGCUGGAAUCGCCUCAUCAACGUCUUGAAUGAGGCCAGCAGGCAUACACACUGAGUGCACCUGAUGUCUUGUCCCUUGCUGCCAUUUCUCUAAGGGAUGCCAUCAUUCACUGUCCAUUAGAAUUGACGACAAUUAAUAGACCCCUGCCCUUUUUUGUAUGUCUCCUCCAGACACCAGACAAAACAGGUGAAAUGACCCCCACUGGCUUAGUUUCAGAUUCAGUGAAUGACAGUGCCUCAGAUUUGUUGGUUAGAGGAUCGGUACGACACCCUGAACCCCCCUGGUCCCCUGCCGACUUGUACAGAACACCUAGAUCUACCAUUGAAACGCCACUCACAGUCAAGCGUAUGAGUACUGACAGAUCCUAUUUUCUGCAGAGGAGACAGGAUACACACAAGAGGGUAAUACUUUAGGUACUGUUGGUUCCGGCACCACAGAUACAGGACUCUAGGGAGCUCAAUACACACAUUCUCAGCAGCUGCCAAUCAUUUGACAGUAGUGAGGAAAAAUUCCAACUGCUUACAAACAUCAGGCAACUCGCCCCUUGCGAGAGCAGCAUUGACAGUGGGGCUGCAUUUUGGCUGGUGCAAGGUAUUGCAGAACAGUGAACAAGUAACUUUAAACAAACCCUGCUGAAUAUCUUUUAAUCUGUUGAGGAAAAAUAGAGAGAGAGAGAGAGAGAGAGAGAGAGAGAGAGAGAGAGAAAUUAUUAUUAAUUCCCUAUGAAAGCUGAAGAAAAUACACAAAACGAGAUUUCUGUUAAUCCCCCUUUAUGAGACAAAUUGACUUGUAUUCAAGAGAAAUAAGGUUCAAAUGCCUUCUCAGUCUUUCGUACCUUUUCAUGUUUUUUUCCAUUAUUGAUAAUCCGUUGAGCAUGAUUUUGUCUGAAUGCUUGUACUAAAGAUAAUUACUCAGCACAUAAACACUUUGCCACACUACAACAAUAUUAGUGGCUUGUUGGGCUCUUCCACAAAAGUAGUACAUCAUUGUUUGUAGAUGUCAACCGAGUGCACCUGCUGUUGGUUUUCUGACAAUGAUAUAAAUGUAGGUAGAAACGUUUUGUAUUAAUUUUAUCUGCACAACUUGCAAAAAGUGUUAUAUUCACAAAAGUUGUUCAAAGUGGCAUCACCUAAGUUCUGAAGUGGUGUGAGCUUGUUGCACAAUACUUUUCACAUGAUCCAAGAAUAAAAGAAUAGUCAAGUCAAAUUAGGCAAACAUGCUGGCCACAUGACCACUUAAAUGUUGAUAAAGGUUGAAACAUUGUGAACUAAGUACAUAAUAAAUCAGUUUAUUACAUCAUUCAGAUGAUUAUUCCUAGACUGUUGCUGUACGCUGGUGGUAGCAUUAUCUGACCAUCUAUUAUGCUUCAUAACUAUCAUUUUCGGACAAGAUUUCCUCUUAGAUUAGUGCAUUACUGAGCUUGCUAAUCUCGCAAAGAUCGAUCAUCAGCAUCAAUCAUCACUACAUUCGAGGUAAUGCCUAGCAUUAAGGUGUGUAUAGCAUUUUGUUCACAGCUUUAAGAGGCUGAACCAGGUAUUUAGUGAUGUUUUUCAAGUGCACGUAUGCAAGUAAGUGUACCAAGUUCAAGCAAGUAAUAUUGACUGUGAUCUCACAAAGUUUCGUUGGCCCGUUGUAGGGAAAUGGUGAUAGAAGAGAGCUUGUGUAGAGAAAUGGUGAUAGAAGAGAGCUUGUGUAGAGAAAUGGUGGUAGAAGAGAGCUUGUGUGGAGAAAUGGUGGUAGAAGAGAGCUUGUGUAGAGAAAUGGUGGUAGAAGAGAGCUUGUGUAGAGAAAUGGUGGUAGAAGAGAGCUUGUGUAGAGAAAUGGUGGUAGAAGAGAGCUUGUGUGGAGAAAUGGUGGUAGAAGAGAGCUUGUGUGGAGAAAUGGUGGUAGGAGAGAGCAGUUAAGUUUGAAAUGUGGAAAGAGUUAACAGCAACAUGGCAUUUGAUGGAAUCUGUUUACAAUUACAACUGUCGUACACAAGUAUAAUGCAUUGAACACACUGAAUUAGAGAUGAUUCCUGAUGACAGGAGCUAUAUUGUGGCAUUGAGUCCAGGAGACACCAGAAGUAUGGAGAACAUACCUUGAUUCAGGAGUGCUCUGUCACCAUGUGCAGUCUUUAUUACUUGAUCAAACCUGGUUGCAAGGUGUGUAAAUCUCACACGAUUGUGUUCCAGAUGUGACUGUGGCUGUACAAGUAUCUCCAUGUCUGGAUUUUUCCUCAAACAAUUAUACAUAAUUUGAGGACAGUGGUGUUGCUGAAGUUACAGGUCAUCUGCGGAUGUUUUAAGCCUGACUAUUCCAGAUUGGGUGCUCACCUGCAGGCAGUGGUGGGCAAAUAGCUGAUGCUUGGACAAUCAGUCAGUCAGGCAUGUGAGUACUUGUACCAAAUGGGACAGCAUUGCAAGAGCCUGACAUACGCAAAAAUUGGGAGCAUAUCAUCUGAUCAAAAGUAUAUGGACAUCUAUUAGUGUACAUUAAUAUGGGAUGUGUCUACCCUUCAAUUUUAUGAAGGCUUGAACUUUGUUGGGGACACUUUUAGUGAUGUCUCUGAAUGUCUGUGAAGGAAUGGCCGCCCACUCUUUCUCAAGAGUUGAUACCAGAGAAGGUAGGCAUGUGGGACACUGGGGUCUGGAGUGAAAUUGAUGAUGUAAUUCAUCACAGAGGUGUUACACCGGAUGCAGGUCAGGACUCUGAUUAGGCCAGUCCAUUUCAGGGAUGUUGUUAUCCUCAAAUCACUGGCUCACUGCUGCUUUAUGAAAGGGUGCAUUUGUCAUGCUGAUACAGUCAGUCAUUGUCUCUGAGCAGUUCCUCUACUCUAUGCAGUACACAGUGCUGUAAAAGGUGUUCAUAUUUUUCCACCUAAGGGGACCCCAUCCUGACUAUGAAAAACACCCCCAUACCAUAACACUACCUCCUCUGUACUUCACUUUUUGCACUACGCAUGAUGACAGGUAACAUCUUCCAGGCAUUCACUGAACCCAAACCUGUCCUUUUGAUCUGCCACGGUUAUAGUGUUGACUCCUCUCUCCAGAUGAUUCAUUUCCAGUCAUCCACUGUUCAGUGGCAUUGCUCUGUAUACCACCUUAAGUGUCACUCAGCAUUGGCUACUGAAUUGUGUGGGUUAUGAGGAGCUGCAUGACUAUUGUACCCCACUCUUUUUAACUCAUUACACACAGUCAUUUUGCUAGCUGGACUGCUGGUAGCACUUUGGAAGUCACAGAUGAUUCCUUCUACUGAUUUCAUGUGGAUACCUUUUGUACAGAAAAAAGAAAUCACCAUCACUGGACAUUAUCUGGGGGGGGGGGGGUGUUUUUUUUUUUUUUUUUUUUUUGCAUUUCCUCUUCACAGUCAACCCUGAUGAAUUUGUCACUCAGAUGACAUCUGACGACUAGUCCAUGUAUGAAGCUACUGACCACCUAUUCUCUAGUGUCAACACAAUACUUUCCACCUCAUUUUAUGCUAGUAGGUCUUCCUCUCAUAACUUUCACUUAUGGUGUAAAAUAGAUCUGAUGACUCCUUGACAUCAAGUUUUUGUUAUGGUACAUUCGUAAUACAGUAGCACCCAAAAAACCCAUUGCCAGCUUGACCUCAGAAGUGGAGUAUCUCAUGCAUUGGGCACCCACGAUUGAAUGAACUAAUCAUGUCUUUCAUGCAUUUGACCAUGAGGCAGUGCCUGGUCUGUAAUAUCUGUCACAUGACAUGCAAAACUAAUCCAUUCGCCAUAGACAUUCCACCAACACAUCAGUUAGCUCUCACUUUCCUUUUAAGAUAUUUCAUAAGUUUUUUUUGUUGAAAAUCUUAUUUAGUGCACCGAAAGCUCUCUGGCUAUUUUUAUUCUUUUACUGUCCAUAUUGCUGUUGCAUUCAUUUGCCCUAAACAUGAAAAAAUCAUCAACUGGUUCCAAGAUAUCAUUGUUAAUUUAUACUCUUUUCUUUUUUUAUACACUACAAGAGAAAAAAAAUGCACCACAAAAGAAUUAUCCACAUGGGAUGGAAACUGCUAGAUAUGAUGUACAUGUACAGACAAACAAAUGAUUACAGUUUCAGAAAAACUGGAUGAUUUAUUUAAGAGAAAGAGCCUCACAGACUGAGCAAGUCUACAACACAUUGACCCACCUAUGGUUCUGAUGCAAGCAGUCAUUCGGCUUGGCAUUAAUUGAUAGAUUGUUGGAUGUCCUCCUGAGGGUUAUCGUGUGAAAUGCCGUCCAAUCAGUGCGUUAUAUUGUCAGAAUCCCAAGCUGGUAGGAAGGCCCUGCCUGUAAUGCUCCAUAUGUUCUCAGUUGAGAACAGGUCAGGCCAACAUAGGAUUCGACAGGAAAGAAGACAUGCAAUAGAAACUCUCGCUGUGUGGGGGUGAGCUUCACCUUGCUGAAAUGCAAGCCCAGGAUGGCUUGCCAUGAAGGGCAACAAAAUGGAGCAUAGAAAAUCAUCAACGUGCAGUUGUGCUGUCAUGGUGCUAUGGAUAACAAUCAAAAGGAUCCUGCUUUGAAAAGAAAUGGCAUCCAAGACCAUCACUUCUGGCAAUUGGUCAUAUGGCAGGUGACAAUCAGACACAUCUUCAUUAAUUGUUGAGGCUCAUUUCGAAGUGGGAUGUGUCUACCCUGAAAGUUUGAGCACUAUACUUUAUUUCCAAUACAGCUCUUGAUUUUCCACAAAUAAUUUUGCAAUGUCUGCUGUAUAUACCCUACACCAUAGCAACUUUGUUGUGACAAAUAUAGUCCAAUGCCUUUGGAAGGUCAAGGACCAUAUAUCUAAUUCUUCUCUGCUCACUUGCUGCUUUGCCUCUUUCAGAAUAUUCAAAAUAGAAUUUCCUAGUCUGUCUUAUAACAAUUUGCACAGUUUUAUGUAAGACUGAUCUGACUGUAACUGAUCUAUAAUUUUCAGCAUUUGAUUGAUCCCUGCCUCUAUGAACAGAAAUGAUUUUUAACACUACUUAAACCAUAGUUAAACUUGUCAGUGAUCUCAUCCAUAAAUCUGAAACAGUUCUCCCCCCCCCCCCUCCCCCUCCACUGCAUAGGUUCCAUUCAGACAUUUAUUGUUUGAUUUUGUUUUGCCAUUUCUGAUCAACUUGUCAAUGACAGGAAUAAGCAUUAUGUCACAUUUGUGCUUUUUUGCAAUUUAAGAGUUAUCACUUACGGAUUUUUUCAUUUUCCAAGUGUAACAUGCAUAAAAAUGUUGCUAAUAAUCUCAACAUUGUACCUCCAUUUCUUUCCUUCCUUCUUCAGUAUUAAACUGAAGCACCAAAGAAACUAAUAUAGGCAUGCAUAUUAACAUACAGUGAUACGUAAACAGGCAGAAUACAGCACUGCAGUUGGCAACACCUAUAUAAGACGACAAGUUUCUGGCGCAGUUGUUACAUCAGUUACUGGUGCUACAAUAGCGGGUUAUCGAGAUUUAAGUGACUUUGAAUGUGGUGUUAUAGUUGGCACAUGAGUGAUGGGACACAGGAACUCCAGGGUAGCAAAACCAUUUCACAAGUGUACCAUGAAUGUCAGGAAUCUGGUAAAACAUCAAAUCUCUGACAUUGCUGCACCCAGAAAAAGAUCCAGCAAGAACGAAACCAACAGUGGCUGAGAAGAAUUGUUCAGCGUGACAAAAGUGCACCCCAUCUGCAAAUUGCUGCAGGUUUCAAUGCCAGGCCAUCAACAAGUGUCAGUGUGUGAACCAUUCAAUGAAACAGCAUCGAUGUGGGCUUUCAGAGCUGAAGGCCCACUUGUGUACCCUUGAUGACUGCAUGACACAGAGCUUUACGCCUCACCUGGGCUCGUCAACAUCGACAUUGGAAUUUUGGGAUGGGAAACUUGUUGCCUGGUCGGACAAGUCUUGUUUCAAAUUGUAUCGAAUGGGAGGACAUGUACGGGUAUGGAGACAACCUCAUGAAUCCAUGGACCCUGCAUGUCAGAAGAGGACUGUUGAAGCUGGUGGAGGAUCUGUAAUGGUAAGGGGCAUUUGCAAUUGGAUAGAUAUGGGAUCCCUGACGUGUUUAGAUAUGACUCCGACAGGUGACAUGUACGUAAACAUCCUGUCUGAUCACCUGCAUCCAUUCAUGUCCAUUGUGUAUUCCGAUGCACUUGGGCAAUUCCAACAGGACUGUGCGACACCCCACACAUCCAGAAUUGGUACAGAGUGGUUCCAGGAACACUCUUCUGAGUUUAAACACUUUUGCUGGCACCAAACUCCACAGGUAUGAACAUUAUUGAGUGUAUCUGGGAUGCCUUGCAACGUACUGUUCAGAAGAGAUCUCCACCCCCUCGUACUCUUAUGAAUUUGUGGACAGCCCUGCAGGAUUCAUGGUGUCAGUUCCCUCCAGCACUACUUCAGACUUUAGUAAAGUUCAUGCCAUGUCGUGUUGCGGCACUUGUGCGUACUUGCAGGCCACCUACAUGAUAUUAGGCAGGUGUAACAGUUUCUUUGGCUCUUUAGUGUAAAUGGCCAUGUCUCUUUUACAGGAGGCCAUAGAUUCUUUGAGAUAUUAUUUGAAACUUCAGCUAACUAGUGAAGAAUACAGGAAAAGAACAAGCUUUGACCACCUUUUGAAAAAAAAAUGAGUUAUGUAGUCUAUGAGUUGUAGAAGUCUGUGUUGUUUAAUAAUGUUAAUUGACCAGUUUGAUAAUAUGAAUACUCCACGAUCUAUAACCUGUUUUAAAUUAGGCAUGCAGGGAAAGAAUGUGCUAAUGUCUCUUGCUACUUGAAAUAAAUGUGCUUUGUUCAAUUUCUGUAUCAAGUUUUAGAUUUCUUGUGGGUUGCCAAUCAAUGUUAGAGCAAGUAACAGAGAAUUUUCCUUCAUUGUGAAUUGUUGUACUAGUAAAAACUGUUGCUAUAGUUUGAGACAUUCUGUUUAGUAAUUCAGCAGCUGUAAGCGAUUCAUUUCAGUUAUAAUUCUUUAUUAUUUACACCUAAUGACAAGUACUUCGUCUGAGGAUAAAAGAUGGAGAUCUUCAGAUUCUAACUAUGUUAGAAAAGGGAAAUAAGAGAAGACAGCAACUGUAAGUUGGUGUUUGAUGAAGUAAGUGCUGAACAAGAUCCAAUAUUAUAAGAAAAUUUAAUUAUUUGGAAGACUGGAAUGAAUGAUCGUUGCAUCUGACAGACCUCAUUACACUACCUCUAGUUUGUAGAAGGCAAUCAAGACAGAAUGAUGAUGCACAGCUUUGAGGGUGUAGUUUGAACUACAGAGUGAGAACAAAAUGUGAUGCCAUUACAUAUAAAGUUCCUAUGGAGAAAAGCCUUCAUGACAGUGUUUGGAAUAGCAAGGUGGUGAUUAAUGACAGUUAAAAGAUUAAUGAAGUUGUGUGUGUCUCCUCGUGAUGGAAGGGGUAAGCAUGGAAAUAGGCCAUAGAAAGUUAAGGAAGAAGGAGAAAAGGCAGUUUAUAAUCAUACUGAUUCAUUUCAGCGUAGAUUAAGUCAUUGCAGUAAUGACAAAAUCAGGAUAUUUUAUCUCCCAAAGGAACGUUCAUAUAUAUACGUUACAGGAAAAGUACCCAAAUUGUGACAUUUCAUGUCACAUGUGUAGAACAAUAAUCAGCAUACCAUUCAAUGUAGUGCACACUCUCUGUGAUAAGUGCUGACUGCAGGAGUAUCUGAAAAUUUAGGUAAUGAUAUGAAGCAACAAGCCUGGAAAGAAAUUAAUAAGAUCACCAUUGAUCACAAGAUUCAUAAAGUCAAAACUGAAACAUUUUAUUCCAGAAAGAGAAAUACAUGUUUAAGAAGGAGAAAUUUGUACUUACCAAGUACCACAAUAAUUAUCUCUAUUACAAAAGGCAGUUGUUUACUCUGUAAACAUUCAUCAGCUGUCAAAUGGAAUUCUGUUGUUCUGCACCUUUUUUUGAAAUCUCUGUGCGACAAAAUUGUUGGACAAGAAAGUCAAACACAUUUAUUUUUUUAUGAUUCACAUUCAGGCCAGAAUAAGAAUUACACUGUUCCAAGUUAUCUUAAUUAUCCUGUGAGUGAACUAAAACCUCUGAAGACAGUGGAAGUAACUUUUCCUAUUGGAGGAUACUUCCGUGGAGUGUGGUAAGAAUAUAAUUUAUAAUAUAAAAGCAGCUGUAGAAGUACCAAUGGGUUAGGUGCGAAUAGUGGUUAAAGCUCAAUGGAGACCUAAACCUUUUGAUGUUGUGAUAGCCAAUCAAGAUUUUAUAAAAAAUUGUGAAUCAUUUCUGCAAAAGAAAUAUUUGAGAAAGUGCUAAAAAGACCUUUCGGUGGGGUAGUAAAAAAAAAACUGCUCCGCCUCAUUCAACACCGAGAAACUUAUAAUGGAGCUUUGAUUUCAUUGGUGGUGAGAGUUUCACAGCAACUUCAAGAUCAGCAGCCUGGAGAAUACAUCUGCUGCUUACUAAGGCCCUCUGGCAAUAUCAAAAGAAGAAAAGUAUCAAGACCCCCCAUGUUUUGAAGGAGUGUUGUUUUCAAGAAGCUAAUGUGUUUUAC